CGGGCGGCCGUGACCCUGCUGGAGUGCGGGGGGGACCUCCAGCCCCCCGGGGGGUCCCUGCGCCUCCUCUGCCGAGGGGCCGGGUUCAAUUUUGGGAGUUUUGCCAUGAACUGGGUCCGCCAGAGACCCGGGCAGGGGCUGGAAUUUGUGGCGUACAUCAACAUUGUAGGCAGCACCUACUACGCACCGUCGGUGCAGGGCCGGUUCAGGAUCUCCAGGGACAACGGGCAGAGCUCGGUGACGCUGACCAUGAACAGCCUCAAGGACGAGGAUUCCGGUGUCUAUUUCUGUGCCAGGGCUGCUGAUGGUUAUGGUGCUGUUGCUAAUUGUGACGAUGCCAAUGAUGGUCUCAAGCUCCUGCCCUGCCGGGGCCCGGCCGGGGCAGGGAAGGAAACAGAAAGUUCCUGGUUUGGGUCACGGUGA